UAAUCAUUUGUGGCUGAGUACAGUCCAAGACACGUGGGAGAUCAUGUGGGUGAUCUCCUGCCUGCUUGGUUAAAGAUCGAUGGCUGCUCUCAGAAUAGAUGCAAGGCCUAAUAAAAUACAGGCUUUCUCUUGUAUCUGAAUGUUGCCGUGUUCCUCAAGCCGUAUCCCAAGGCUCUGGUGCUGUGCAGGCUGGAAGCUUCUUUGUCACACAAAUCUCACUGUGCCUGAUGCAAGCAGGGAAAAGGAAGAUGCAGCAUUUAAGCUUUGCCCCAGUGGAGCAUGGUGCUGGCUGGGGUGGGACAACCUGGGGUCCUCUGAGAUGCUGGAGUUUGAGUCACCACGCAAGAAUCCUUGAGGGGAUUCCCUUGGAGCAGCAAUCACCGGAGCCUCCUGCGGUGUUCCCAUCACUGACAGCACCCCCAGUUUCUACCAGCAGCACCAUGGUGGUGGUGAUGUCCAGGCUCAGCAGCUGGAGGCUGAGUCAUCAUCCCUGGAGAUGUAGAGGUGGUGCUGAGGGACAUGGUUUAGAGGUCCGUUGGAAGACACUUGAUCCGUCCCGCUUUUCUCACUCACAGAAGGAAAACUUGCCAUAAAGAAAUAUUAUGUGUGACCUUCAAAAGUGACUGUCGCCCUCUCUGUCUCAGUCUGCGCUCUAUUUUUCAUAGAAACCUGUUUCUGUGUUGCAUUAUGGGGGAAAUAAGCCAUUCAUCUUUGUCGCUGCUGCUGUUGCUUCUGCUGGGGGAGUCACUCCCCGCGGGCGCGUGAAGAACAGUGGGUCAAGCAGCACUUGGGCAAUUUCUAGAGGUGGACCUGCAGCAAUCCAUCAGUUGCUUCCCUUCUGGAAAUCAAUAGUCAUCUAUAGUACAAGUGCUUCUGACCCCUGAAAGUUAUUAAAUAAAGUCAUGCACAGAUUAAAAAAAAAAAAAAAA
rnacentral:lncRNA from 1 species